AGAGUUUGAUCCUGGCUCAGGAUGAACGCUAGCGGCAGGCUUAACACAUGCAAGUCGAGGGGUAACAGGGGUUGCUUGCAACCCGCUGACGACCGGCGCACGGGUGCGUAACGCGUAUGCAACCUACCUUCUACAGGGGGAUAGUCAAUAGAAAUGUUGAAUAAUACCCCAUACGAUCAUUAAUCUGCAUGGAUAGAUGAGGAAAGUUCCGGCGGUAGAAGAUGGGCAUGCGUCCUAUUAGUUAGUUGGUAAGGUAACGGCUUACCAAGACGUCGAUAGGUAGGGGUCCUGAGAGGGAGAUCCCCCACACUGGUACUGAGACACGGACCAGACUCCUACGGGAGGCAGCAGUGAGGAAUAUUGGACAAUGGAGGCAACUCUGAUCCAGCCAUGCCGCGUGCAGGAAGACGGCCCUAUGGGUUGUAAACUGCUUUUAUACAGGAAGAAUGGUACCUACGUGUAGGUAUUUGACGGUACUGUACGAAUAAGGACCGGCUAACUCCGUGCCAGCAGCCGCGGUAAUACGGAGGAUCCAAGCGUUAUCCGGAAUCAUUGGGUUUAAAGGGUCCGUAGGCGGUCUGAUAAGUCAGAGGUGAAAUCCUGCAGCUCAACUGUAGCAUUGCCUUUGAUACUGUUAGACUUGAGUUAUUGUGAAGUAGUUAGAAUGUGUGGUGUAGCGGUGAAAUGCAUAGAUAUCACACAGAAUACCGAUUGCGAAGGCAGAUUACUAACAAUACACUGACGCUGAGGGACGAAAGCGUGGGUAGCGAACAGGAUUAGAUACCCUGGUAGUCCACGCCGUAAACGAUGGAUACUAGCUGUUCGACCAACAUGGGUUGGUUGAGUGGCUAAGCGAAAGUGAUAAGUAUCCCACCUGGGGAGUACGCUCGCAAGAGUGAAACUCAAAGGAAUUGACGG
rnacentral:rRNA from 1 species